CCUACGGGUGGCAGCAGUGAGGAAUUUUGGGCAAUGGACGCAAGUCUGAACCAGCCAUGCCGCGUGCAGGAAGACGGCUCUAGGAGUUGUAAACUGCUUUUGUACGAGGGAAAACGAAGAUACGCGUAUCUGUAUGAAAGUAUCAUACGAAGAAGGAAGGGCUAACUCCGUGGCAGCAGCCGCGGUAAUACGGAGGAUUCAAGCGUUAUCCGGAUUUAUUGGGUGUAAAGGGUGCGUAGGCGGUGGGAUAAGUUAGAGGUGAAAACCCGAGGCUCAACUUCGGAAUUGCCUUUGAUAAUGGUCGGCUAGAGAGUAGUUGCGGUAGGCGGAAUGUAUGGUGUAGCGGUGAAAUGCUUAGAGAUCAUACAGAAUACCGAUUGCGUAGGCAGUUUACCAAGCUACUUUUGACGCUGAGGCACGAAAGCGUGGGUAGCAAACAGGAUUAGAUACCCCGGUAGUC
rnacentral:rRNA from 1 species